UACGUAGGCAGCGAGCGUUGUUCGGAGUUACUGGGCGUAAAGCGUGCGUAGGCGGUGUCUUAAGUUUGUUGUGAAAUCUCCCGGCUUAACCGGGAGGGUGCGGCGAAUACUGAGAUGCUGGAGUGCCGGAGAGGUAAGCGGAAUUCCUGGUGUAGCGGUGAAAUGCGUAGAUAUCAAGUGGAACACCAGUGGCGAAGGCGAGUCCCUGGACAACUCCUGACACUGAGGCACGAAAGCUAGGGGAGCAAACGGG
rnacentral:rRNA from 1 species